rnacentral:siRNA from 1 species
AGGCAACAUGUUGUGCACGUUC